UACAGAGGUGGCAAGCGUUGUUCGGAAUUACUGGGCGUAAAGGGCGCGUAGGCGGUCUUGCAAGUCCUGUGUGAAAUCCCUCGGCUCAACUGAGGAACUGCACAGGAAACUGCUUGGCUUGAGUUCGGGAGAGGGAAGCGGAAUUCCGGGUGUAGCGGUGAAAUGCGUAGAUAUCCGGAGGAACACCGGUGGCGAAGGCGGUUUCCUGGACCGACACUGACGCUGAGGCGCGAAAGCUAGGGGAGCAAACGGG
rnacentral:rRNA from 1 species